rnacentral:sRNA from 1 species
GCUGGGCGUGGUGGCGCACGUCUGCAAUCCCAGCAACUCCGGAGGCUGAGACAGGAGAAUCACAGGUUGGGGGCCAGCCUCAACAAUUUAGUGAGACUGUGCCUCAA